UAUGGGAUUUUUGCUGGAAGAGAUGCAUCCCGAGGUCUUGCCACUUUCUGCCUGGAUAAGGAGGCUCUGAGGGAUGACUAUGAUGACCUCUCUGAUCUCAACGAUACACAGCAAGAGACCUUGAGGGACUGGGAGUCACAGUUCACUUUUAAGUAUCACUAUGUUGGUAAGCUGCUGAAGGAAGGGGAGGAACCCACUGUAUACUCUGAAGAAGAAGAAAAAGAUGCCCAGGAUGCAAAGAAAGACUAGAGAGUGCAGUGAGGAGCCAUCUGUUUUUGAAUCGUAAAGGAUCAUUUGUAACAUUCCACUUGCAAGAGCAGCAAUGCUUACAAAAGGUCCACAGUUACAGUGAAUUGUUUCUUUUCAAAGGUUUCCUUUUCAAAUUCAGUGGUAAACUACUAAAGGUCUAAGAUCCGUCUUCCUUUAAAACUGCAUAAUCUGAAGUAUGCACGAAAAAUGUCUGUGCUGAAGUAAGCUGCAAUUUUGGCAAUAAAGGACUAUUACUGUUUUCCUUCUAUCACUAUUUAGUGCAGAGUAGGUUGAAAUCCAGUUUUUCAUUAACAACCUAGCACUGUGGACACAAGCACAAGAAUAACUUCACAUAUGCAACACAAAUUCCACUAAAUCUUGUUUUGUGUUAGCUUCUGCAGGAUCUGGGACUUGGGUUCUAAUUCCUUUAGAAAAGGGACUGUAUUUUAUUUGUCCAUGAAGCAUCGUGCUCAUUUGUGGUGCAGUGUAAUUCAAUAUUAUGUAAGAUAAUUUGGCUUUUAAGGAGUUACGUAGCGGCUUACAGAUGAAACGCUUAACUGCUUUAAAAAAAGGUAAGAAUUUUUAGGAGGUUAAAUCACUUUUAGAUAAUUACAAAACUAAUAAGGACUGAUGAAUACUUGAUGUAUUCAGUCAUGCAUAAUUAUGCGUGGAUUAAUAUUCUUUGUUUACUUUUAUAAAGCACAUCUGAAAUGUUACAAAGGUUUAGAUACUGAGUGUAACUAGGCAUCCCUAAAAACCAGGUACACCAUGAAGUGUGACUCGAUUGGACUACUGUUCACUCGCUUUUCCUCUUAGUAAAACUAUUCUGUGAAUUUUAAUGAAAUUAUAUUAAACAGGGAAGAUCAGCUGCUAUUGAUUCCUAGGCCUAAAAAAGACUUGCUGGUACGGCAUGAUUAACAAAUGCUCUUGUACACGCAGGUUUAACUAGGAGGAAAAUGUUACUGGUCAAUGUAAUUUACACGUUUCCUGUACAGAAAAAAAUAACAUGGUGUAAGCCGUUUCUGUGUUGAGGCCUUUGUUGCUUUGGAACGUUGCCAUUAAAAGAAACGGCACAAUCAUCUCGUGCAUAACCAGCAACACUAUACAUAGGGGACCUGACCUUUGAAUUGCUUUUUACUUAUUUGCUCUCUUAGCUCACAUCUAUGCUUAAUUACUAGGUUUGUUCUGACUACGUAACCUAGUCUCCUACCAGAGGGGGCUGGGUAAAUGGAUUUGACCAAGGAAAAAUGUAAAUGCGCUCCUUCAUCAUCCAAAAUGCUUCUGCAAAACUUUCUCAGAAAUUCCAAGGAGAUAGCUAAUGAUUUGCUGAUGUUUCUUGUCCAGGUGAUUCUGCUUGGGUGCCUGCCUGGUAUAGUUCCCUGUAUUUAGUUUCUCUGGUUCGGCUGUUCAGCCGAGUUGUUUCAGUUUGGCAACGUGGCCAAAAUGAUGAACUGAGUCCUGAGUGGGGAAGGUGUAAACUAGGCAAAAUUGUUUGGAAGUAGAGUGCAUUGCACAACAGCAGCUCUCAUAAACAAGUUGACACAACAUGUUAAAGUGCCUGAGACCAUCUGUGGUGAGAAGGAAUGACUUCCCCUCAGUCCUAACGCUUUCAUGGCAUUUUCUUUUGGUUACACUGGGCCUUCAAAUGAAGAGUGCGGCUGUUUGAGCCAGAUAGCUUGCGUAAAGUGGUACUGUAUGACCUACCUAAUGAAGGUCUAGAGACAAAUGUAAAUCUUGUCAUGACCUCUGUGUUGCUAUUUUAUUUUUAGAGACAUUUAUACUCUUUGCAAAUUACUACUAAUGGUUUACCUCAAAUUGGAAGUGUGCUUUUAUUUGUUUAACACAGAAAAUACAAUACUCUUGCAU